UACGUAGGGACCAAGCGUUGUUCGGAUUUACUGGGCGUAAAGGGCGCGUAGGCGGCUUGACAAGUCACUUGUGAAAUCUCCGGGCUUAACUCGGAACGGCCAAGUGAAACUGUCAUGCUAGAGUGCAGAAGGGGCAAUCGGAAUUCUUGGUGUAGCGGUGAAAUGCGUAGAUAUCAAGAGGAACACCUGAGGUGAAAACGGGUUGCUGGGCUGACACUGACGCUGAGGCGCGAAAGCCAGGGGAGCAAACGGG
rnacentral:rRNA from 1 species